UUGAGACUUCGGUGGAUUUGAUCUAUUUCUAGUGGCGGACGGGUGAGUAACGCGUGGGUAACCUGCCUUAUACAGGGGGAUAACAGUCAGAAAUGGCUGCUAAUACCGCAUAAGCGCACAGAGCUGCAUGGCUCAGUGUGAAAAACUCCGGUGGUAUAAGAUGGACCCGCGUUGGAUUAGCUAGUUGGUGGGGUAACGGCCCACCAAGGCGACGAUCCAUAGCCGGCCUGAGAGGGUGAACGGCCACAUUGGGACUGAGACACGGCCCAGACUCCUACGGGAGGCAGCAGUGGGGAAUAUUGCACAAUGGGGGAAACCCUGAUGCAGCGACGCCGCGUGAAGGAAGAAGUAUCUCGGUAUGUAAACUUCUAUCAGCAGGGAAGAUAGUGACGGUACCUGACUAAGAAGCCCCGGCUAACUACGUGCCAGCAGCCGCGGUAAUACGUAGGGGGCAAGCGUUAUCCGGAUUUACUGGGUGUAAAGGGAGCGUAGACGGUGUGGCAAGUCUGAUGUGAAAGGCAUGGGCUCAACCUGUGGACUGCAUUGGAAACUGUCAUACUUGAGUGCCGGAGGGGUAAGCGGAAUUCCUAGUGUAGCGGUGAAAUGCGUAGAUAUUAGGAGGAACACCAGUGGCGAAGGC
rnacentral:rRNA from 1 species